rnacentral:rRNA from 1 species
GACGAACGCUGGCGGCGUGCUUAACACAUGCAAGUCGAACGGAAAGGCCCCCAUCUUGGUGGGGGUGCUCGAGUGGCGAACGGGUGAGUAACACGUGGGUGAUCUGCCCUGUACUUCGGGAUAAGCUUGGGAAACUGGGUCUAAUACCGGAUAGGACCAUGGUUUAGUGUCUCGUGGUGGAAAGAUUAUUGUUUUGGUGCAGGAUGAGCUCGCGGCCUAUCAGCUUGUUGGUGGGGUAAUGGCCUACCAAGGCGUCGACGGGUAGCCGGCCUGAGAGGGUGGACGCCCACAUUGGGACUGAGAUACGGCCCAGACUCCUACGGGAGGCGGCAGUGGGGAAUAGUGCACGAUGGGAGCAAGCCUGAUGCAGCGACGCCGCGUGGGGGAUGACGGCCUUCGGGUUGUAAGCUCCUUUCGUUAGGGACGAAGCCGCACUUUUUUGGGGUGUGGUGACGGUACCUUUGUUAAGAAGCACCGGCUAACUACGUG